GUCCACGCCGUAAACGAUGGAUACUAGAUGUCGGGAGUUCUUACCCUCUCGGUAUCGUAGCUAACGCGUUAAGUAUCCCGCCUGGGGAGUACGGUCGCAAGAUUAAAACUCAAAGAAAUUGACGGGGCCCGCACAAGCGGUGGAGUAUGUGGUUCAAUUCGAUGCAACGCGAAGAACCUUACCUAGGCUUGACAUCCCACGCUACCCUGUGAAAGCAGGGGUUCCCGCAAGGGACGUGGAGACAGGUGCUGCAUGGCUGUCGU
rnacentral:rRNA from 1 species